GCUUCAUCUCGACCUCUCAUUCCAGGAGAGUCUGAGGGUCUUGCUGGCCGUCUGCAGUCUUCCCGACAGCGUGUGGGAGAGCUGGAACGGACUCUGUCUGCUGUUUCCACACAGCAAAAGAAGGCAGACAGGGUGAGCCCAGCCUUCUGCCCCACCACCAGCAGCCUAACCUUUCCAGUGCAGGAGUGAGCAUAAGGGCCCUUCUGCGGAUGGAGCAUCUUGCUGCUCAGAAUGCAGCAUGGGCCGUUUCUUGCUGCUUUGUGUGGUGUGGUUGGUAGUGGAAGCCUGGGGAUGAGUCAGGUGCUCUGCACAGUGAGCACUGGAUAUGGAGCCCUGAGGGUGGGAAGCCCAUCAUGCCCUUAGCCUGCUGUGGCCUCUGCCAGGUGCUAGGAGAAGGGGAUAUAUGAUGCAUGGGCUGUGAAGGUUCCCAAGAACUUAGUAUGUUUCUGUUUGUGGAGAGAGAGGGGGCAUGUGUGUAAUAUACAUAAAACAUGUCUGGAAUACAUAAACUCAGGGAGAGGAACAGGGUGGCUAAGACAUAUAUCACUUCUUUUUUUGUGGGGGGGGCAGGUACUGGGGAUUGAACCCAGGGGUUCACAUCCCUAGCUUUUUUUAUUUUUUGACUCAGGGUCUCAGUAAGUUGCUUAGGUCCUUGCUGAGGCUGGCUUUGUACUUGUAAUCCUCCUGCCUCAGCCUCCCAAGUCUGGGAUUAUAGGUGUAUGUCCCCACACCUAGUGACAUUUCACUUCUGUACCUUCUGCGUUUUGGACUAUGUGAAUGUACCAUCCAAUCAAAUUGUGAACAACAGAUUUAACUUCCUUUCUUCUAACUAUACCCCCAUCCCUGUGUGGGGACCAGGAUGUUCAAAUUUGAGCUCUGCAUAAGUGAUCCCAGACAGGCCACUUAGCUUCUUACAGGCUGUGUUUCACCUACAAAAUGGAGAUAACCAGUAACUGCCUCAUAUGGUGGUUAUAAAGAUAAAGUGGGAUCAUUAGCAUGAUGCCUGGCGAAGCACUUAGUAUAGAUAAUUACAGCUAGUAGUAAUAACAGUAACCACCAGUAUUAGAUACAUUGUAGAUCUUUUAUCUGCUAGAUCUUUUUCCCCUAUCUCUUCUACCCUUACUGAGUUCUUUUUUUUUUUUUUUUUUUUGGUACUGGGGAUUGAACUCGAGGGCACUCAACCACUGAGCCACAUCCCCAGCCCUAUUUUAUAUUUUAUUUAGGGACAGAUUCUCACUGAUUUACUUAGUGCCUCCCUUUUGCUGAGGCUGACUUUGAACUCGCGAUCUUCCUGCCUCACCCUCCCAAACUGUUGGGCUUAUAGGCGUGUGCCACCAUGCCGAGCCUUACUGAGUUCUUAUUCAAAACAAAUGAGUAGUCAAGCAGGGUGGUGAUCUGGUGAUCUCCUGUGAUCUCAGCACCUUGGGGAGUUGAGGCAGGAGAAUUACAAGUUCAAUGCCAACCUCUUUGUGAGACCCUGUCUCAAAAUUAAAAAAAUAAAAAAGGCUAGAAAUGUACCUCAAUGAUAAAGCACCCCUGGGUUCAAUCCCCAACACCAAAAAAUAAACAAACAGAUAAAUAAAAGUCAAAGCAAACAAGAGGGCUUGGGAUGUAUUUCAGUGAUAGAGCACUUACCUAGCAUGCUUUGGGCCCUGGGUUUUGUUGCCUGCACCAGGAAAACAACAAAUCAAGGCCGAGUUUGGUGGUACACCUUUAGUCCCAAGUACAGAGGAGCAGAAUAAUCAUUUGAGCCCAGGAAUUAAAUACCAGCAGGGAUAACGUCUUGGGAUACUCCCUAUCACACAAAUCAAAGCAAACACUCAUGAAAACAUAAACGAACCCUGGGCUUAGCAAUGCCUUGGAAAACUGUCAAGUGUGAUUGAGGGUGAGGAUGUGUCACUCUGGAAUAGUUAUUGUGGUUAGAGUGCUGGCUGCCUCUUUGGCCUGCCAGAUCCUGACUUUGUUUUCUGUAUUUGCAGCACAACAAGGAGCUAACCAAAGAGAGAGAUGCCCUCAGGCUGGAGUUGUACAAGAACAAGUAGGAAGGGGAAGGAGAAUGGGCAGUCCAGGACUUUAGUGAGAUUGUGGGGGAGGGGGUGGGAGGUGAACAUGGGGAGGAGGUUUUAUAGGCUUGGAUGUGUCCAAAGCCAAACUGUAGUCCCAGCCUCUGCUUCAUUCCUGGGGCAGCCUCAGGCAACUCGUAUCUUCUCUGUGGUCUGUCACCUGUGACUCCUGAUUCCUGGAGUCCCUUCUAAUGCCAUGGUUCUGUGGUUGUGUGGCAAGGGCAAUGGGUUGGUCACCGAAAUUUCUCUUCCUGUUCUUGGUGCAUUCCUUACUGUGCUACCUCUGAUUACAGCAUAAAUAACGAGGACCUGAAGCAGCAGAACUCAGAAUUGGAAGAGAAGCUCCGUGUGGUGCUGGCAGAGAAAGCAGCUAUGCAGCUGGGGGCGGAGGAGCUCCAAAAGAAGCUGGAGAUGUCUGAGCUGCUGCUGCAACAAGUGAGGCAGCAGCCCCAGCAGCCCGAGCACUGGCUCCGUGCGGUUGUCAGGGUGGCCUCCAGCCAAGAGCUGGAAAAUUUGGGUUCUUAUCUGGUCCUGCCAUAGAAUCUUCCAGAGAUGGUUAAAAUCCACAAAUGGGAGCCCUGCCCAGACCUGUGGAAUCAGAAUCUCAAUGAUAUGGCUUUUUAAAUUUUUGUUUUUAAAUCAUCUUGGUUGAACACCAUCAUGUUGUAGAUUUCCUCUAUGUGGUUACCCAGUAGUCUGUUCCCUCUCCUGGGGGUUCAGCCAGCACUUUUAUUAUGUGGUAAUGACCCUGAGUCGUACACUGAUCUAGUUCACACCCUGUGGAGGCAUCAUGUGGAACACCUGGGCUCCCCAGAUCUAAACUUCUCACUUUCCCCACUUCAGUUCUCUAGCCGGUCUGAAGCCCCUGAUAGUAACCAGCAGUUACAGCAGGUCGUAGAGGAGCGGGCACAGCUGGAGAAACAUGUGGGGCAGGUAGGCUUUGCAGAGGGAGGGAUAUGGGAGGAAGAUGGCUCCAGGUGGCCAUGAGCAGGUAACAACCAGUGACAGUCCUUCCUAAUUUCUGUGCUCAUUCUUGUUAGCUGAUGGAGUUACUGAAACAACUGCAGGUGGAGAGAGACCACUAUGCAGAGAACCUGAAAGGAGAUAACGCCAUGUGGCAGCAGAGGAUGCAGCAGAUGUCAGAGCAGGUGAGGCCUGACCUCAGAUGGCUUGCUGGGUUUCCCUGGUGUGUCCUGCUGUGGAGUGCAACCAGGAGAGGGGUCCGUGUUCUGGAUUUUUGGAGGUGGGGGCAGAGAGGGAGUCGGGGCCAGGGUCCUCCAUGCCCUCCCUCUCUCUGCUCUUUCCCCCUGUGCCUGAGGCAGCUGUGCACAUUGAGGGAGGAGAAAGAACAGAGUGAGAGUCGGGUUCAGGAGUUGGAGACCAACUUGGCAGAACUGAAGAGCCAGAUGGGUGAGUGGGGACUAGGGUCACCUGGAGCCCGGAGUGUGUGAGGACUUGGGGGUGGCUUAGACUACCCCAGGGAGAGGAGUGAUUUCAAGGACACUGUGGCAGAGGGAAAGGGGUCUGUGCCAGGAGAUGGAUGGCAAAUCUUAUCACCUCUCUGAGCAGCAGUGUGUUUCCAUCUUCAGAGAGGGAUGGUGUGCCCACUGCCAGUCCCCCACAGUUGACCUGAGCAUGGCAGUGUAAGGAACUAUAUUGGGAAAUGACUUGAAGGAUUGACCAUCAUCUAGGCAUGAGGAACUAUUAGGAAGGCAAGGUUUGAAGUGAGGAGCCUGAAUUAAGAGCUGCGGACCCACGAAGAGGGUUCUGAAAAGCCAGAGGUCCAAGUCCCUUAUUGUGUGCUUCCUUUCUCAGUGGAGCCCCCACCCGUGGAGCCCCCGCCCGUGGAGCCCCCACCCGUGGAGCCCCCACCCGGGCCCUCAGAGGCAGAGCAGCAGCUGCAGGCAGAUGUGGAGCAGCUGCAAAAGGAACUGGAGAACCUGGCUGGACAGCUCCAUGCCCAGGUGCAGGAUAACAAUAGUCUGAGUCGCCUGAAUCAGCAGCAGGAGGAGCGGCUGCUGGAGCUCGAGCGUGCUGCGGAGCUCUGGGGCGAGCAGGAGCGCAAGCAGAUUCUGGAGAGCAUGCAGAACGACCGCACCACCAUCAGCCGCGCGCUCUCCCAGAACCGCGAGCUCAAGGAGCAGCUGGCGGAGCUGCAGAACGGCUUUGUGAGGCUGGUGCGUGGCCCAUGGGCUCACAGGCCUUCCCCAUCAAGUCCUUCUGGGCCUUUCUGUCUUGGCCUUCACCCCACCCCGCCCCCCAUGGUGGCUGUGAAGCACCCUGCAAGCUAAAGGCCUCGCUCAGGUGUCUGUGCAGGGAAGGAUAACUCUUUGACUGUGGCAGGUGGACACCCUGGGGUCUCUAGCUGCAUUGUAUGGCACUGAUUCCUGCUUUCUGUUCAGACGAAUGAGAACAUGGAGAUCACCAGUGCGCUGCAGUCAGAGCAGCACAUCAAGAAGGAGCUGGCCAAGAAGUUGGGUCAGCUGCAGGAGAAGCUGGGAGAGCUAACGGAGACGGUAACCCUUGCCCCAUGUGCCCUCACUGUAGGGGAAGAGACAGCCAUGAUGGGAGGCUUUAUUGCUUCACACAGCUAACCCUGGUUUCUUUAGCUUCAGUUACUGGGCACUAGUAGGGUGCACUUAAUAGGUGUGUGGCUCUCUUUGCUUUUCCACAUCUGUGGCCUGAAGUUCCGGUGGUGGGGAAAGAUGGUUACAAAGCGUGAGGCUAAGUGUUGGAGGCAUGGGGCUCUGUUACCCUCCACCACCAACCACCACCGUCACUUAUGGGCUGGGAUCAAGAACUGGAAGCAAGUCACACUUGUCCUUACACCCAGGGCCUUCCCACAGGUGGAGCUGAAGAGCCAGGAGGCUCAGGGUCUGCAACAGCAGCGAGACCAGUACCUGUCUCACCUGCAUCAAUACGUGGCAGCCUAUCAACAGCACGUGGCUGCCUAUCAGCAGCUGACCUCCGAGAAGGAGGCGCUGCACAAGCAGGUUCUGCUGCAGACUCAGCUUAUGGACCGGCUGCAGCAUGAGGAGGUGCAGGGCAAGAUGGCAGUGGAGAUGGCCCGCCAGGAGUUGCAGGAGACCCAGGUGAGGGGGCUGCUAAGGCCGGGCCCCUAAGUGGAGGACGUGGCCAUUCUGUGCCUUCUCACUCUCUUCCCAAUCCCGUAGGAGCGCCUAGAAGCCACCAGUCAGCAAAACCAACAGCUACAGGCCCAGCUGAGCCUCCUGGCUCUCCCUGGGGAAGGUGAGUGAAACCAUCCUGAGGAGGGGAGCCUGAAGAGGGACUGUGGUGGAACAGAGUUGAGGAGUUAGAGGAAGACUUCGGAACGUGCUGUUAAUCUCUGGGGAGGCUGGCCCAGGGGUACACAGUGAGGGGGCAGAAGUGGACCCUUUUUUUCCUGGGCCUUCCCUUGGGUUGUCUGAGGGAUCCCUCUGGCUGUCUGCAGUAGAAGAUGAAAUGGACGAGGAAGAAAAGGAGGAGGCGGCUUCUCGGCCCAGUUUGACCAUCCCAGAGGACCUGGACAGCCGAGAGGCCAUGGUGAGCUGUGCUCUCCUGUCCCUUCCCCAGCUCACCUUUUCUGCCUCCCUCUGUGGUCCCUCUGGAUGUCCUGAUACCUUGGUUUUUCCCACUCCCAUUUCCGCCAACACCCACACCUCCCGUGGAGACAGGGAUUGGAUACGUGCCCCCCUAGGAAAAAUAGUGACCCACUGAGGCCCAGGGGAGGGCUGCUCUGCUCUGCUCUCUGCUCCCUGGUUUGUCCCGAGCAUUUUUUCAAUAAAAAGGACAUGUCUGCCUCUAGGUGGUAUUUUUUAAUGCGGCUCUAGCCAAUGCCGAGGAAGAGAAGGCACGGCUGCGCAGGCAGCUGAGGGAGCAGCAGACACGCUGCCGGCGCCUGGCUUAUCUGGAAGCCACAUCCCAGAGUGAGCCCACAGAGCAAGCCCUGGUCCCCAGGAGUGGGGACAAUUGUGUGUCUGGGGAGAGCACCCAGGCUCUACAGAUGGCCAUGGAGAAGCUGCAGGUGAGUGAGCCUUUCCCAACAGAGGAAGUGUAGAUACAGGACAGGUCCCUCCUGAGUCUUGACCCUGCUAUUUUGGCCUCAGAGCCGCUUCCUGGAGGUCAUGCAGGAGAAGGUGGAGCUCAAGGAGCGGGUGGAGGAACUGGAACAUCGCUGCAUCCAGCUCUCUGGAGAGACGGAUACCAUCGGUGAGCCCAGCUGGGGCCCAAGGCAGUGGGGGUUGCAUAGGGGCCUGUUGGGGGAGCCCCAGCAUCUGAGUCCUGUGCCCUGCCCUCCCUGCAGGAGAGUAUAUUGCCCUCUACCAAAAUCAGAGGGCAGUGCUGAAGGAGCGCCACCGAGAGAAGGAGGAGUACAUCAGCCGACUGGCGCAGGACAAGGAGGAGAUGAAGGUAGGAGCCCCUGAACAUCUCUUCUCUGCGGGCCUGCAGGCUGGGCGGGGGCCGGGAUACUGAGCAUCUCUCCCUUCAGGUCAAGUUGCUGGAGCUGCAGGAGCUGGUGCUGCGGCUUGUGGGGGAGCGUAACGAGUGGCAGGGCAAGUUUCUGGCAGCGGCCCAGAGUCCUGCUGAAACCACCACUCCAGAGCCAGCAAGCCCCCAGGAAUUUGGAGCAACUGACAAGCAGGGUGGUGAGUAGAGACCUCAGGACGGGCUGACAGGAGGAGCAGCAGAGGGCUGCUCCGUGCUCAGAGGCCUUUCCUCUCUCCAAAGACCUUCAAGAGGUGAGCCUUGCUGACAGCGUGGAGCCGGCACAAGGAGAGGCUGGGGCGGCUUCUCCCCCUGAGAACCACACUGCGCAGCAGAUCAUACAGCUGCUGCGCAAGAUCCAGAACCCCCAGGAACGCCUCGGCCUGGGCACCAACCCCUGCGUCCCCUUCUUCUACCGUGCCGACGACAAUGAUGAGGUUAAGAUCAUGGUCAUCUAAGUCGGAGGCCGGGGAGGAGGGGCCAGGGACUUUUCCCCCAUCUGUCCCUUACCCCCCUGUCCCUGCCAUUCCUUCCCAGUUACCCUUUUACCCUUAGGACUAGCAAGUUAAGACCCCUAACAGGGGACAAACAGGUGCAGACCCUUUGCCACCUUGGCUAGGGCUGAGUCUUGAUUUCUGGACUCUUGCUCCAGAAAGAGAGCCAGAGGCUCAUAAUUUUCUAGAGGGGCAGGGCUCUCUAGUGGUCCCCUUGCCCUCACCAAGCAGACCUUCAUUUAGGGGGCUCUCUCCUCUUACAAGAGGCACUUUGGGGCAGGCAAGUUGGGCAGCAUUUUCACAGCCCUUAAGAUGGGGCUCGGGCUGGGGAUGUGGCUCAAGCGGUAGCGCGCUCGCCUGGCAUGCGUGCGGCCCGGGUUCGAUCCUCAGCACCACAUACAAAACAGAGAUGUUGUGUCCGCUGAUAACUAAAAAAUAUUAAAAAAAAAAAAAAAAAAGAUGGGGCUCACUGUAGGCGGGGCUGGGGCAGAGUCUGGCGGGGGCAGUCCUCCAUUCAGCAGGGCUCCCGUCUUAGAGGCACUUUGGCAGGUCAGCUGGGCAGCAUUCUCAUGGGUCUUCAAACAUUUAGGGUCACUGAAGGCUAGGCGAGGGCAGCGUGGGCGCAGGCAGUCCUGAGGGCUCCCAUCCUCAGAAGUAUCUUGGGCAGGGCUACUGGGCAGAAUUCUCAGGCCUUAUGACAGUUGAGGCUAACUGUAGGCCAGGCAGGGCAGAGGCUGCUGGGGGGGGUGGGCCUCCCCUCGCCCAGUGUACAUAUUGUACCUGUGUAUCAUUUUGUAAAUUCUGGGGUAGGACUGCCCCCUGUAUCAUAGUUGGAGCUGGCAAAUGGAGAGAAGGGUCUAAUAAUUAUUUGGGAUUGGAAAACUUAUUUAUUGAUAGCAUAGGACAAAGGAAGGAGGCAGGGAUGGGGUUGUGGUGCCCUGGUGAUGCAGCUCCUGUUUAUUUUGCUUUUUAUUUCGGAAUAAAUGGAUUUAGCCAUACCGCUCAGCCUU
rnacentral:lncRNA from 1 species